rfam:Neisseria mucosa ATCC 25996 N_mucosa-1.0.2_Cont0.1, whole genome shotgun sequence.
CCGUUGAGUUGCUUGAUGCAGCUUGAUUUUUCUCCUCUAUUUCUCCUUUGUAGACUUGGCGCAUAUCCCAAACGAUAUGCGCAUUUUU